ensembl:lncRNA
CGGGAAAUUAAAGCAGCGAUCACUUGGACUAUUCCGCAGCACCCCUCUCACAGUGGUACAUCCCUCCAGGUAACCAUUGUCUUGUACAGUAGAGCGGGACAUUUGAUUUACUCUCAGCGGAAUUGACCGGAGAAGGCAUCAGUUCAUGCACUGCACUGGCUUGCACCACGAUUAGUAUAAGCCCUCACCACUCCGCAGUCUUCCCCCCAGCCCACUGAUAGCAACCAUCAUAAUGCCCCACCCAGCUUCCGGCACCUUUCGCCACUCCGGCACAACACACAAACCGACACAGCUUUGCGAUCUCCCCAGCAUGCAGAGUCUGAUGUCGAUGUCUUCCCUAUAGAUGAUCCCAGAGACUCUGUGAGGCCACUAUUACAAGGUGAGACGCUUUGUGUUGAUUGGUGCUGCUGGACCACACUGGAGGUGCGAGUCUGCCGUGUAAUGGCUUAUGCCAUCACAAACGAGCUGGCCUCUGUACUCAACUGGGCAGGGAAAAAAAACCCAAGGACC